rnacentral:misc_RNA from 1 species
AAGUCGUAACAAGGUAACCGUAGGUGAACCUGCGGUUGGAUCAUUAACGAUUCAUGUUUUGGGAGGGGGGUAGCCCUUUUUUUUUAAUUGGGCGCGCCUCUCCAAAAAGCAUAUCUUUCUUUGCAGACAGCAUACCGAAUUUAUUUUUUUUUUAUUUUUAUUUUUAUUUUUUGCUGCUUAAAACCGGCGAAGAAAAAAAAAGAAAAAAAGAAUAUCCUACUUUGCUAUUAUUUUUUCCAACAAGUUUGAGCCCCUAAAAAAAGCUUGGGCUUGUGGUGAGUCUCCAUGCGAUUCUUUUUGAAACGCGUAUUUAAUUAUACAACUUUUGACAAUGGAUCUCUUGGCUCUC